GGCGUGCAUAGGUCACGCGGCUGGCCUGCCCGAUCUUGGCGUGAUCGGCCAGCAGCACCAGUUGCUGCGCCUGCUCGGCCAUGGCGCGCGCGA
rnacentral:tRNA from 1 species